rnacentral:rRNA from 1 species
AUGGGCUUUCGAGACAUCGAACUCUUCAAUCUAGCUCUUUUGGCCCGGCAAGCAUGGCGACUCCUACAAGAACGUAAUUCCCUAAGUGCACGUAUUUUAAAAUAUGUUUAUUACCCUUCUUGUUCCAUCUUGGAUGCAGAGAUUGGCAGCAACCCCUCACAAGGAUUAAUCAAGAGGAUUGGCAUAGAUGAAGCGAUGGAAAUUUGGAAUGACAACUGGAUCCCCAGGGAUUUUAAAUUGCACCCAGUUUGUGCAAAAUCUCCCCACCCACCUGUGUACGUCAGUGAACUAAUUGAUCAGGUGAGUGGCGGAUGGAAUGUUCAUGCUUUGGAUGAGCACUGUUUUGAGAUGGACAAACAAGCUAUACUGAAUAUCCCUCUCAGUUCGAAACGAUAGGAAGAUUUUUGGUCGUGGCACUACGAUCACAAGGGAGUGUUCUCUGUACGUUCGGCCUACAGGCUACUCGUAGCAACAAAAAGGCAAUGGAAGGAUUGGUUAGAAAAGGUUCCAGGGCACUCUAACCCUACCCUCGAAGGAAAAUCCUGGACCAAACUGUGGGGUACUGAUGUUCCAACUAAAGUUAAGGUUUUCGCAUGGAGACUAGCCAGAACCUCCCUCCCUACUGGUGAUGUCCGAGAAAACCGGAAGAUGGCGACCACUCCAGAGUGUAGCAUUUGUUCGGCAGCGCAUGAUUCUUGGAGGCACUCGCUUUUCGAUUGUAGAAUGGCCCGCUGUGUUUGGGCACUCAUGGACGAAUAG